rnacentral:rRNA from 1 species
UACGUAGGGUGCAAGCGUUGUCCGGAAUUAUUGGGCGUAAAGAGCUUGUAGGCGGUUUGUUGCGUCUGCUGUGAAAUUUUGGGGCUCAACCCCGAACUUGCAGUGGGUACGGGCAGACUAGAGUGUGGUAGGGGUGACUGGAAUUCCUGGUGUAGCGGUGAAAUGCGCAGAUAUCAGGAGGAACACCGGUGGCGAAGGCGGGUCUCUGGGCAACAACUGACGCUGAGGGACGAAAGCUAGGGGAGCGAAAGGG